AUUGAACGCUGGCGGCAUGCCUUACACAUGCAAGUCGAACGGCAGCACGGGUGCUUGCACCUGGUGGCGAGUGGCGAACGGGUGAGUAAUACAUCGGAACAUGUCCUGUAGUGGGGGAUAGCCCGGCGAAAGCCGGAUUAAUACCGCAUACGAUCUACGCAUGGAAGCGGGGGACCUUCGGGUCUCACGCUAUAGGGUUGGCUGAUAGCUGAUUAGCUAGUUGGUGGGGUAAAGGCCUACCAAGGCGACGAUCAGUAGCUGGUCUGAGAGGACGACCAGCCACACUGGGACUGAGACACGGCCCAGACUCCUACGGGAGGCAGCAGUGGGGAAUUUUGGACAAUGGGCGAAAGCCUGAUCCAGCAAUGCCGCGUGUGUGAAGAAGGCCUUCGGGUUGUAAAGCACUUUUGUCGGGAAAGAAAUCCUUGGCUCUAAUACAGUCGGGGGAUGACGGUACCGGAAGAAUAAGCACCGGCUAACUACGUG
rnacentral:rRNA from 1 species